GAUGAAGAACGUAGUGAAAUGCGAUAAGUAAUGUGAAUUGCAGAUUUCAGUGAAUCAUCGAAUCUUUGAACACACCUUGCGCCUUGUGGUAUUCCACAAGGCAUGCCCGUUUGAGUAUCAUUAAAUCAUCAACUCUAAAACCUUUGUGGUUUUUUUAGAGCUUGGUCUUGAGGGUUUUGCAGGCUUUUUUUUUUCGAGUCUGCUCCCUUUAAAUGCAUUAGCGAGACUUCCCUAUGCUGAACCGUCUCUUUGACGUGAUAAUUAUCUGCGUCGAAUUUUGGUUCUCGUUGGGCUUGCUUCUAAUCGUCUGUUAAAGACAAAACGGAUUUGGGUGCAUAUAUGCGCCUUUUUCCAAAACCUUUUUUGAUCUCAAAUCGGGUAGGACUACCCGCUGAACUUAAGCAUAUCAAUAAGCGGAGGA
rnacentral:misc_RNA from 1 species